rnacentral:lncRNA from 1 species
GUUAAACAAGUGCUUGAAGGCAGUAUGCUUGGUAAAAGUCAUCGCCAUUCUCUAAUCUUGAGUACCCAGGGACACGAUACACUGCGGAAGGCUGCAGGGACCUCUGCCCAGGAAAGCCAGGCUUGCAUGAAGGAAAUGAUUUCCUAUGAUUCUGCUUACUGCUUAAAAAAAUUAAUCAAGUUUUCUGCCUGACAAGGAUCACUCUAAGCUCCAGUGUCAAGGAGUCAAGUCCUUCAGGAAUUCUCUGCCUCCACUCCCUGUGGCAGAGCUAGAGUGGCUGCCAUGCUUCUGAGCUCAGCCAGCAUCCAGAGAGAGAGUGAGAUACAGCCUCCUCUUCUUGAAGCACCCACUUCUAAACUCUGUGACAGUUUUCUUGGAACUCUGUUAUGUGGAUCUGGAGAUGACAAUGUCACAGCACUCCCCUCUAAGCCUAAAUUCCCCCACACCGAUGAACUAUUAGGAUCCAGUAUCUGCCGGAGGAGCCCCACCUUCUGCUACUAUUAUGUUCUUCAGAUGAGUAGAAGAGAGUGGGGAGGGAGAGAGCAGGAAGAAGAAAGGAAGAAUAAUGUCUUGAAAUUGUUUUCUAAGGAUAAUGGUCUCCAGCUUCGUCAAUGUUCCUGCAAAGGACAUGAUGCUGACUUUGAAGAUGCAAGCUUCCACAUCUACAGCCUCAAGGAAACAAAUUCAGCCAACCAACUGAGGGAGCUUUCCUUGUCCUGCCUCAAGAUGAGAUCACAGUCUGCCCAACACCAUGAUUUAGGCCUUGUGACACCUGGUAUGGAAGACCCAGUUAAGUUCUCUCCAAACUCUUGACCCACAGAACCUGUGAGAAAAUAUAUGGAUAUUAUUUUAAACUGCUAAAUUUGUAGUAAUUUGUUAUGCAGCAAUAAAAAAAACUAAUGCAAGGAGAUAUCAA